AUUGAACGCUGGCGGCAGGCCUAACACAUGCAAGUCGAGCGAGCGGCGGACGGGUGAGUAAUGUAUGGGGACUGCCCGAUAGCGGGGGAUCACUACUGGAAACGGUAGCUAAUACCGCAUACUAUCGGAUAACCCAUAUGGGAUUAGCUAGUAGGUGAGGUAAUGGCUCACCUAGGCUACGAUCCCUAGCUGGUCUGAGAGGAUGAUCAGCCACACUGGGACUGAGACACGGCCCAGACUCCUACGGAGGCAGCAGUGGGGAAUAUUGCACAAUGGGCGCAAGCCUGAUGCAGCCAGGCCGCGUGUAUGAAGAAGGCCCUAGGGUUGUAAAGUACGUUAAGUCGGGAGGCGUUACCGAAAGAAGAAGCACCGGCUAACUCCGUGCCAGCAGCGGCGGUAAUUC
rnacentral:rRNA from 1 species